CCUACGGGAGGCAGCAGUGGGGAAUAUUGGACAAUGGGGGGAACCCUGAUCCAGCGACGCCGCGUGAGUGAAGAAGUAUUUCGGUAUGUAAAGCUCUAUCAGCAGGGAAGAAAGAAAUGACGGUACCUGACUACGAAGCCCCGGCUAACUACGUGCCAGCAGCCGCGGUAAUACGUAGGGGGCAAGCGUUAUCCGGAUUUACUGGGUGUAAAGGGAGCGUAGACGGCGAUGCAAGUCUGAAGUGAAAGGCGGGGGCCCAACCCCUGGACUGCUUUGGAAACUGUAUGGCUGGAGUGCAGGAGAGGUAAGUGGAAUUCCUAGUGUAGCGGUGAAAUGCGUAGAUAUUAGGAGGAACACCAGUGGCGAAGGCGGCUUACUGGACUGUAACUGACGUUGAGGCUCGAAAGCGUGGGGAGCAAACAGGAUUAGAUACCCUAGUAGUC
rnacentral:rRNA from 1 species